UAGGGNAUCUUCCGCANUGGACGAAAGUCUGACGGAGCAACGCCGCGUGAGUGAUGAAGGUUUUCGGAUCGUAGAGCUCUGUUGUUAGGGAAGAACAAGUGCCGUUCAAAUAGGGCGGCACCUUGACGGUACCUAACCAGAAAGCCACGGCUAACUACGUGCCAGCAGCCGCGGUAAUACGUAGGUGGCAAGCGUUGUCCGGAAUUAUUGGGCGUAAAGGGCUCGCACGCGGUUUCUUAACUCUGAUGUGAAAGCCCCCGGCUCAACCGGGGAGGGUCAUUGGAAACUGGUGAACUUGANUGCAGAAGAGGAGAGUGGAAUUCCACGUGUANCGGUGAAAUGCCUGNNNAUGUGGAGGAACACCUAUGGCUAAGGCUACUCUAUGGUCUGUAACUGACGCUGAGGAGCUAAAGCGUGUUGAGCGAACAGGAUUAGAUACCCUGGUAGUCCACGCCGUAAACGAUGAGUGCUAAGUGUUAGGGGGUUUCCGCCCCUUAGUGCUGCAGCUAACGCAUUAAGCACUCCGCCUGGGGAGUACGGUCGCAAGACUGAAACUCAAAGGAAUUGACGGGGGCCCGCACAAGCGGUGGAGCAUGUGGUUUAAUUCGAAGCAACGCGAAGAACCUUACCAGGUCUUGACAUCCUCUGACAAUCCUAGAGAUAGGACGUCCCCUUCGGGGGCAGAGUGACAGGUGGUGCAUGGUUGUCGUCAGCUCGUGUCGUGAGAUGUUGGGUUAAGUCCCGCAACGAGCGCAACCCUUGAUCUUAGUUGCCAGCAUUCAGUUGGGCACUCUAAGGUGACUGCCGGUGACAAACCGGAGGAAGGUGGGGAUGACGUCAAAUCAUCAUGCCCCUUAUGACCUGGGCUACACACGUGCUACAAUGGACAGAACAAAGGGCAGCGAAACCGCGAGGUUAAGCCAAUCCCACAAAUCUGUUCUCAGUUCGGAUCGCAGUCUGCAACUCGACUGCGUGAAGCUGGAAUCGCUAGUAAUCGCGGAUCAGCAUGCCGCGGGAAUAC
rnacentral:rRNA from 1 species